rnacentral:rRNA from 1 species
GAUGAACGCUAGCUACAGGCUUAACACAUGCAAGUCGAGGGACCGGCGCACGGGUGAGUAACACGUAUCCAACCUGCCCUUUACUCUGGGAUAGCCUUUCGCAAGAACGAUUAAUACCCGAUAUAAUGGAUGGGGAUGCGUUUCAUUAGGUUGUUGGUGAGGUAACGGCUAACCAAGCCUUCGAUGUAUAGGGGUUCUGACAGGAAGGUCCCCGACGUUGGAACUGAGGCACGGACCAAACGCGGACGUGAGGCAGCAGUGAGGAAAAGUGAGCAAUGGGCGCGAGCGUGAACCAGCCAAGUAGCGGGUAGGAGGAAGGCGUAUGGGUAGUAGACAUCUGUUAAAUAAGAAUAGGUAAUAUAGUAAUAAGGAACGGCGAACUCCGUGCCAGCAGCCGCGGUAAUAC